UACAGGAUUAACAUCUCUGAUCAUGUGUCCUCAGUUCCAGGAUCAGCCGUCAUUGACAAACUCAAGUCACAACAGACACAACACAGGGCGAAUUCCCUUCAAAGAGACGAGCAUCACUCUGCUCCACUCAUUACGCAUUACUGUCUCAUAGUGGCUGUCUGGAUCACCCGACAUGAAGCCAGACGUCACUGACACUUUAUUCUGAAUUGAAAUGUUAUUUAAAAACAGAAUUCAAACUGAAAAAUACAGAUGUUAACUUUGUUAAGACACAUGUAGCACUGUAGAGCAAACAGGAGAGAUGGUGCUGGAUACGCCACAGUCAUUGGAUUGAUUUGCAAGGAAUACAAGAACUGCCAAAUGUGUAAAUGUAAAUAAAUGUUGUUGUAUUUGUUUUUA